GGCGGACGGGUGAGUAACGCGUGGGAACGUACCUUUUGGUUCGGAACAACACAGGGAAACUUGUGCUAAUACCGGAUAAGCCCUUACGGGGAAGAUUUAUCGCCGAAAGGAUCGGCCCGCGUCUGAUUAGCUAGUUGGUGAGGUAAUGGCUCACCAAGGCGACGAUCAGUAGCUGGUCUGAGAGGAUGAUCAGCCACAUUGGGACUGAGACACGGCCCAAACUCCUACGGGAGGCAGCAGUGGGGAAUAUUGGACAAUGGGCGCAAGCCUGAUCCAGCCAUGCCGCGUGAGUGAUGAAGGCCCUAGGGUUGUAAAGCUCUUUUGUGCGGGAAGAUAAUGACGGUACCGCAAGAAUAAGCCCCGGCUAACUUCGUGCCAGCAGCCGCGG
rnacentral:rRNA from 1 species